rnacentral:rRNA from 1 species
CGCACUAGUCACUUUGUCUUUAUGGCAAAUGUGAGAUGCAGUGUAUGGAAUGUCAAAUUUCUAGUAUGAGAAAUUAACGAUUUAAGUCCUUCUUAAAUGAGGCCAUUUACCCAUAGAGGGUGCCAGGCCCGUAUAACGUUAAUGAUUACUAGAUGACAUUUCCAAAGAGUCGUGUUGCUUGAUAGUGCAGCACUAAGUGGGUGGUAAACUCCAUCUAAAACUAAAUAUAACCAUGAGACCGAUAGUAAACAAGUACCGUGAGGGAAAGUUGAAAAGAACUCUGAAUAGAGAGUUAAAUAGUACGUGAAACUGCUUAGAGGUUAAGCCCGAUGAACCUGAAUAUCCAUUAUAAAAAAUUCAUCAUUAUGAUUAUAAUAUUUAUAAUAUAUUAUAAUAAUGGUGUGCAUUUUUUUUAUAAAAGGACAUUGUAAUCUAUUAACAUAUUUAAAAUAUUUAUCAUAAAAUCAUUAUGCGUAAGUUUAUUCAAAUUAUUUUGCUUGCAUUUUAAUAUUGAGUAAAUGCUUUUGAUUUGAUAAAGUGUUGAUAGAUUUAUUUAUAUAUAGUGCUUAAAUAUAUUAUAUUUUAUAAUAGCAUAUAAAUCAUUGAUUUUUAUGUUUAUUAUAUGCACUUAUAUGAUUAACAAUGCGAAAGAUUCAGGAUACCUUCGGGACCCGUCUUGAAACACGGACCAAGGAGUCUAACAUAUUUGCAAGUUAUUGGGUAUGAAAAACCUAAUAGCAAAAUUAACAUAACUUAUAAUGGGAUUAGUUUUUUAGUCUAUUAUAUAAUAGUCUAUUAAUUCAAUCCCGGGGCGUUCUAUACAGUUAUGUAUAAUAAUAUUUAUAUUAUUUAUACCUCUAACUAGAGCGUACCUUGAGCAUAUAUGCUGUGACCCGAAAGAUGGUGAACUAUACUUGAUCAGGUUGAAGUCAGGGGAAACCCUGAUGGAAGACCGAAACAGUUCUGACGUGCAAAUCGAUUGUCAGAAUUGAGUAUAGGGGCGAAAGACCAAUCGAACCAUCUAGUAGCUGGUUCCCUCCGAAGUUUCCCUCAGGAUAGCUGGUGCAUUUAAAAAUUAAGUAAAAUAAUCUUAUCUGGUAAAGCGAAUGAUUAGAGGCCUUAGGGUCGAAACGAUCUUAACCUAUUCUCAAACUUUAAAUGGGUAAGAACCUCACCUUUCUUGGYAUGAAGGUUGAGGUUGUGAUAUAAUGUGCCCAGUGGGCCACUUUUGGUAAGCAGAACUGGCGCUGUGGGAUGAACCAAACGUAAUGUUACGGUGCCCAAAUUAACAACUCAUACAGAUACCAUGAAAGGCGUUGGUUGCUUAAAA